UUUCCUUAUCAACCCACUCAAAACUAAUGGGAGCAAGAGAGAACAGAGCAAAGGCUUUGGCAAGGCAGGGUCUUACAACAUCAAACCGUACUGAAGGCAGAUUUCCACAAAGUGCUUGCACAGCACAGAAAGUUUAAGUGUUGGCACCGAGACAGAAAUGGAUGUCUGACCCAAUAGUUCAUUUAUGCUCAUCCGUCACUGAAGAAGAUGGAUACUGCAGAGGAGUUGAUUAGGCUGAGAUUCAUCAUUCCUCUUUCUAGAGCUGAGUUACACCAGGGCAAGACAACAACUGUGGGAUUUCUGCAAGGUCUUGUGAUGAAGCAAAAUGUUGUUUACCUGCAACAAACAGAGAGAAACCGUCUCCCAUGUGGCCACCAGGAAUGUCUCUGGAAUGAUCUGUCGUUCCUGGAUGCAAAUGGCAUCCAAAGGCACACGGUGCUCGUGCACUUAACCAAGCACAUUCUGAAGGCAGGAUAAUUUGGAAAGAUGACCAUUUAUAGAAGAUUAGUUGUCCUCUGACCGCAGUUACAAUUAUCUGGGAGAACA